UGCAAAGAAAAUGUCUUGCUGAAUCAUGUCCUGGAAUCUGAAGUGUGUUUUUGCUUGUGUACUGUAAAAACAAGGAGAGCCAUUUCAUCAAAAACCCAAGGCCUCUAUAAAAAAAAAAAAGUCCUUAUAUAGUGUGCUUCCUGGUCCAGUGGAAUGUCAGCAUGAGAAUCUGCCUGGCAGAACAUCAUAUGCCCACUCCAAAAAGACAUUCACAAAAAACAGUGCCAUUUGCUGUUGACCUUCGCAGAAGCUUAAUUAUCCCUGCGGAAAUGUGGUUCCACUAGACUGAAAUUAGACUGCCAGAUUGACAGAGUCCUUGCAGAUUUUGUGAUUUCAACCUAUUGACAAUAAAAAAGCUGAGAAAAGAAAGAAUUUCAGAAGUCCAAGAUUUGUGCAACAGGAAAGCCCUUCCCCCGUCUCUGAUGUAUGCCUUUGCUGUCCUCACUCUUUUGAGCUGUAGGGGAGUCAGCAUCCCAUGGGAUCUCUUUCUUAACUAGCGCAGUCAAAUAAAAACCUUAGGCUAGAAAGAUCUUGUAUGCAUCUCAUGUAUGCCUUAAGUGUCAUCAGAAAUAAAUUGGCCACUUGUGGUUUCAUUACAAUA